rnacentral:rRNA from 1 species
AGUGCGGUAGGGGAGACUGGAAUUCCCGGUGUAACGGUGGAAUGUGUAGAUAUCGGGAAGAACACCAAUGGCGAAGGCAGGUCUCUGGGCCGUCACUGACGCUGAGGAGCGAAAGCGUGGGGAGCGAACAGGAUUAGAUACCCUGGUAGUCCACGCCGUAAACGGUGGAUGCUGGAUGUGGGGCCCGUUCCACGGGUUCCGUGUCGGAGCUAACGCGUUAAGCAUCCCGCCUGGGGAGUACGGCCGCAAGGCUAAAACUCAAAGAAAUUGACGGGGGCCCGCACAAGCGGCGGAGCAUGCGGAUUAAUUCGAUGCAACGCGAAGAACCUUACCUGGGCUUGACAUGUUCCCGACGACGCCAGAGAUGGCGUUUCCCUUCGGGGCGGGUUCACAGGUGGUGCAUGGUCGUCGUCAGCUCGUGUCGUGAGAUGUUGGGUUAAGUCCCGCAACGAGCGCAACCCUCGCCCCGUGUUGCCAGCGGAUUAUGCUGGGAACUCACGGGGGACCGCCGGGGUUAACUCGGAGGAAGGUGGGGAUGACGUCAGAUCAUCAUGCCCCUUACGUCCAGGGCUUCACGCAUGCUACAAUGGCCGGUACAGCGGGAUGCGACAUGGCGACAUGGAGCGGAUCCCUGAAAACCGGUCUCAGUUCGGAUCGGAGCCUGCAACCCGGCUCCGUGAAGGCGGAGUCGCUAGUAAUCGCGGAUCAGCAACGCCGCGGUGAAUGCGUUCCCGGGCCUUGUACACACCGCCCGUCAAGUCAUGAAAGUGGGCAGCACCCGAAGCCGGUGGCCUAACCCCUUGUGGGAUGGAGCCGUCUAAGGUGAGGCUCGUGAUUGGGACUAAGUCGUAACAAGGUAGCCGUACCGGAAGGUGCGGCUG